rnacentral:lncRNA from 1 species
CUGGCCUCCUGACUCCAUUUGAAAUGGAUUUCUGCUUGUUGAUUUUCACAGUGGCUUAAACAACAGAAUAUUUUUCUCACCAUUAUGGAGGCUGGGAAGUCCAAGAUCAAGGUGCCAGCAAGCUCCUUUCCUUUUUCAUAAAUGUAGCCUAGAAGAUAAAUCUGUUGUAUGAAGCCCCAGACUGAAGGCAAAAAGAAACUACAGGAAGGAGGUCACAUAGUUUCAUAUGAUAAAGCCAAGAUAAGAGAGACAUCAAAUCACUCACGUCUCUUUGCCACUGAUGUUUGAACUUGCCAGUGUAGAAGGAGAGAGUAGGAACUAUUGUAUUCCACCUUCAGCAGCAACAGUUUCGUCAGUUAGACUGCGACUGCUGAAUCUUUAUCCUCGGGAUGUGGUGAGACAGGGCGACAGCUUCCAGAUUGCUGACUAGCUAUUUUGGGACUUGUAAACUUGUGGCACAACUGACUUGUAAAUCAAUGCUUGUAUAAAUGCA